AUUGAACGCUGGCGGCAGGCCUAACACAUGCAAGUCGAGCGAGCGGCGGACGGGUGAGUAAUGUAUGGGGAACUGCCCGAUAGAGGGGGAUAACUACUGGAAACGGUGGCUAAUACCGCAUACCAUCAGAUGAACCCAUAUGGGAUUAGCUGGUAGGUAAGGUAACGGCUUACCAAGGCGACGAUCCCUAGCUGGCCUGAGAGGAUGAACAGCAACACUGGAACUGCUACACGGCCCAGACUCCUACGGGAGGCAGCAGUGGGGAAUAUUGGACAAUGGGCGAAAGCCUGAUGCAGCCAUGCCGCGUGUAUGAGGAAGGCCUUCGGUUUGUAAAGUACUUUCAGUCGGGAGGCGUUACCGACAGAAGAAGCACCGGCUAACUCCGUGCCAGCAGCCGCGGUAAUUC
rnacentral:rRNA from 1 species